rnacentral:rRNA from 1 species
UACGUAGGGGGCUAGCGUUAUCCGGAAUUACUGGGCGUAAAGGGUGCGUAGGUGGACUUUUAAGUGAGAUGUGAAAUACUCGGGCUCAACUUGAGUGCUGCAUUUCAAACUAGAAGUCUAGAGUGCAGGAGAGGAGAAUGGAAUUCCUAGUGUAGCGGUGAAAUGCGUAGAGAUUAGGAAGAACACCAGUGGCGAAGGCGAUUCUCUGGACUGUAACUGACGCUGAGGCUCGAAAGCGUGGGGAGCAAACAGG